rnacentral:tRNA from 1 species
GCCGCGCUGGGCCGGUCGAGCCGGCUGGGCGCUGCUGGCGCCCGCGGCCGUGCUGGGGACCGUCGCCUUCGCGUGGGUC